GACAGAGGGUGCAAACGUUGCUCGGAAUCACUGGGCGUAAGGGCGUGUAGGCGGAGAGGUAAGUCGGGCGUGAAAUCCCCAAGCUCAACUUGGGAACUGCACUCGAAACUACCUUUCUUGAGUGUCGGAGAGGAAAGCGGAAUUCCUGGUGUAGAGGUGAAAUUCGUAGAUAUCAGGAGGAACACCAGUGGCGAAGGCGGCUUUCUGGACGAUAACUGACGCUGAGACGCGAAAGCGUGGGGAGCAAACAGGAUUAGAAACCCCCGUAGUCC
rnacentral:rRNA from 1 species